GAAAUAUGGAAUUCAAAAAUAAGCUUCUAACUUAGUUUUUUAGCAGUGAAAUUCUGUUAAUAUUUCU
rnacentral:tRNA from 1 species